CGGGAAGAGCUCAAAUUUGAAAUCUUCAAGGUUUUACCUUGACGAAUUGUAGUUUAAAGAAGUGUUUUCUGUUGAAGUUUUGGUAAAAGUUCUUUGGAAUAGGACAUCAUAGAGGGUGAGAAUCCCGUAUUUGACCAUUAUUUUCAGCUGUGUGAUACACUUUCAAAGAGUCGGAUUGUUUGGGAAUGCAGUCCAAAAUGGGUGGUAAAUUUCAUCUAAAGCUAAAUAUUGGCGAGAGACCGAUAGCGAACAAGUACCGUGAGGGAAAGAUGAAAAGAACUUUGAAAAGAGAGUUAAACAGUACGUGAAAUUGUCAAAAGGGAAGCGUUUGACACCAGUGUUGUUUUCUCGAAAAUCAAUUAAAAAAAGUUGGAUUUUGUGUUGUAUUGACCUUAACAGCUUGCUUCACUCUUUUCCUGCUUUUUUUAAUGCACUUUUCGUUUAACAAGUCAACAUCAGUUUCUUUUGUUGUAAAAGGGUCAUUGGAAGGUGGCUUUCUCUUCGGAGAAAGUGUUUAUAGCCUUUGAUCUCUGCAAUCGGAGAGACUGAGGUCUGCAGCGUAGAUCCUUCGGGGUUAGAUACAUUUGUGCUAAGCUACAGCUUUUCAUAGACAACUUGUUGACUAUGUUUAGUCUUGUGACUUACCCGCUUAUGCUAUUUUACCUACGCUUAGGAUGUUGACAAAAUGGUUUUAAACGACCC
rnacentral:rRNA from 1 species